rnacentral:lncRNA from 1 species
AUGUUUGCAGAAGAAAUCAUAUAUACACACACACAACCAAGAAAAAGGAAAAAAAUAUGCUUCACUCUGCACUCAGAGUUAAUUAAUUCUGUCAAUGGAGGUCAUGGAAGAGAAAGACAGAACAAAUGCUUUCUUCUCUCUAGUAGAAAAGAAGUAAUUGAAAAAGAACAGAUUAGUAUAAAUAAAGAAAAAAUGACAAAUGAUGCUAUAGAAAAACCACAUAAAUGGAAUGAAGAAGUAUUUAUAAGAAAGGUGAGUUUUCUUAUAUGGCUAAUGGUUGGAGUAAUUGCCUGGUACAUUGCCUGGAGUAAAAUGCCUGGGCAAGAAUUAGCUCAGUUAAACACAGGUGAAGGUGGACAUGAUGAAGUUUAUAAGGAUCAUGCUUCCAUUGCCUCUUUGAUACCUUUGUUUGCUAUAUUUGGGGAAAAUUUCAGGCUAAGACUUUUGGAGUUCAUCCUAUAAGCUAAAAUUGGUCACCAGUAUCUUCAAGGUUAUAUAAUGUGGACUGAUGAAUGUUUAGAAUGAUUGAACCAAAGAAGAAGGGAAUAGAUGAAAGAGAAUAAUGAAGAAAAGAUUAGUGUUCUUAUCACCAAAGGGAAGUAUGCUAUGAAGCCACGAAUGAAUAACUUUGCUCCA